CCUACGGGAGGCAGCAGUGGGGAAUAUUGGACAAUGGGCGAAAGCCUGAUCCAGCAAUACCGCGUGUGUGAAGAAGGCCUUCGGGUUGUAAAGCACUUUAGGUCGGAAAGCGGUACCGACAGAAUAAGCACCGGCUAACUCUGUGCCAGCAGCCGCGGUAAUAAAGAGGGUGCAAGCGGUAAACGGAUUUACUGGGCGUAAAGCGUGCGUAGGUGGUUGCGUAAGUCGGAUGUGAAAUCCCUGGGCUCAACCUGGGAACUGCAUCGAUACUGCGUAACUAGAGAUCGGUAGAGGGCAGCGGAAUUCCGGGUGUAGCGGUGAAAUGCGUAGAUAUCCGGAGGAACACCGAUGGCGAAGGCAACUGCCUGGGCUGUCUGACACUGAGGCACGAAAGCGUGGGUAGCAAACAGGAUUAGAUACCCUUGUAGUC
rnacentral:rRNA from 1 species